UCCACUGGAGUCAAUGGGAGUUGUUCCAUUGACCUCUGUGGGAGCUGAGUUAUAACAAUGCAGAGUACUUUUUAAACUAUAAAGUAUGAGGAAGAUAUACCCACAAAACAGAUUUUGUAAGAGUCUUUCUGUUUAGCUCACUCAGGCUUUUUUCAAUUGUGAAGCAUUUAGAAAGCAGGCUCUUGCACUGCAUCUCAUCUAGCCCAACAAGGUCCUCCUCUUGAUUUCUUUGAAGAUAUUUGGUUUACACCUAUUUAACGUUCAGUUUUCAGGCACUAAGAUCCUCCAAGAAAGCAUCUUUAUUGCAAGUUCAGACUGGAAUCACAGGAGGACCAUCUAAAAGCUUGCAUCACAGAAACAUUGAAGUGCUUCCUAUUUACAAGGACCACUCUGCCCAUAAGAGAAAAUAAAAUGCAGAAGACAUUUGAAGGAGAAAUGUGAAGGACAGUAAGAACAUUUGGUGCACUGGAAAAUGGGUCCUGCUCCAAACAUAUGCUGUUCCAUUCUAUUCAGGGCUUAUACAACCUCCAUCACUGUAACAUCUGAGAACCUUCCAGAAACGCAUUAAUUGAUGUGUCUAGCAUCUGUCACAUAUCUACAGAGCACUCUGAUGGGAGUUGCAGGGGCUCAGCACCUCUGUAAAUCAGUGAAUUCCAUGUUUCUUUGUGUGGAUCUUUAUGACGGCACAGGGUACUUGCAAGAACUAAGUUGGACACCAAACAAUUCAAUGAAUCCCUUGCCAUUUUGGUUGAUGGUUCCCAUUGUGUGCUUCCCCACUGUUCUUUCAGUUCUUUGGUUGCAUAUUGUACUUCAGCAUUAAAGUCGACCAUCACAAGAGGAAUCUGGUUUGGAGUCUGCUAUAUAUGAUUCCAACACACAGACUUCCGCAUGCAGCUGUCAAAUGGAAACCAUCUGAGGGUGAGGAAACGAGGGAGCCCAAGAGAAACCUUAAGAAGAACCUGGGAGGCAGGACAGUGUGAUUCUGACAGACCUGGUGCCAGCUCAUGCCAAGUGCCCCUGCCUCACUGAACAAAUCAGCAUGGAAACCAUUCUGGCUUAUCUGUAUGGCAGUAUUGUUAAGAUAGAUAUUAGAGUUGUAAGAAUGUGUUUGGUGUUUAGACCUUAUGAAUAGCUUGUAAUAUGCUGUAUUAGUCUCACUUAUCUGUACCCCAUGUUAUAGAGCAUGUAAAUGCGUAACUCAUCAAACAGGAAAGACGCCUUCUUUAGUGCAAAUCCUGGCUUCUUACAGAAGAUGCUAGGUUCUGACCAACAAGGAGGCCUUUAAAACCAAAUGAGCCAACAUGACCCAUUAAAAGAACAAAGGCCUUAAGUGCUCACCUCCCUGCUCCAGGGAAAGGAGACCUGUGCAUGAACUCAUCCCAUCAGCAUGGGCUCUGGGGUGAAGGGGAUAGAAACCCAACAAGAAGAAACUUGGUUCUUUUUGCUGCUUGGACUCUAAAGGGACAAGAAUCACUAAGCCUAAA